GGUGAACGCUGGCGGCGUGCUUGACACAUGCAAGUCGAACGGUAUGUGGCAACACAUAGAGUGGCGAACGGGUGAGUAACACGUGGGAACGUAUCUUUUGCAGGGGGAUAACUGACCGAAAGGACAGCUAAUACCGCAUAAGUCCGAGAGGAGAAAGGUGCAACAGCAUCGGCAGAAGAGCGGCCCGCGGUCCAUCAGCUAGUUGGUGAGGUAAGGGCUUACCAAGGCGACGACGGAUAGCCGGCGUGAGAGCGUGGCCGGCCACAAGGACACUGAGAUACGGGUCCUACUCCUACGGGAGGCAGCAGUGCGGAAUUUUAGAUAAUGGAGGGAACUCUGAUCUAGCGACGCCGCGUGCAGGAAGAAGGUCUUCGGAUUGUAAACUGCUGUGGUAAGGGAAAAUGCUAUGUAGAGUGGAAAGCUACAUAGAGGGAUGGGUACCUUACUAGAAAGCCCCGGCUAACUACGUG
rnacentral:rRNA from 1 species